rnacentral:rRNA from 1 species
AUGACCUCCACCCCUCUCCUCCGACGAACGGCAUCUCCCGGACCUCCCCGACGUGUUUACGUCCCAGGGCCGUUACCAAUCUUCUGCUCCCGCUCGCUCGCAGCCAUGGCGAGCAGCAUGGCGCUGCUACUGCUGCUCCUCCUGCCGGCGGUGGCGUCCACGACCGCCGAGCUGGACGAGAGGGAGCUAGCGUCCACCAUCGCCGAGCUGCUCAAGGCGGCGCUCAUGUCCACCGCCGCCGAGCUCGACGAUGUCGAGCCAGGCGACAGCGACGGCUACAGGACGUAUAUCGUCAUGCUCGAGCCACCAGAAGAAGGCCAAGAUGCCGAUGCUGAUGCUGCCAGAGCGUGGCACCGUUCGUUCCUGCCGUCGGCGACGACGGCACAAGGCAAGCCGAGGCUGCUCUACUCCUACCGCACCAUCUUUACCGGCUUCGCCGCGCGGCUGACAGAGAAGGAGCUCAAGGAGGUCUCUGCCAAGCCAGGCUUCGUACGCUCCUUCGACAACAACAUCUACCGCGCGCAGACGACGCACACGACUGCGUUCCUCGCGUCGCUCGUGGACCUGUCGAACCAUAUUGGGGGAGUCCCCCGAUAA